rnacentral:rRNA from 1 species
GACGAACGCUGGCGGCGUGCUUAACACAUGCAAGUCGAACGGAAAGGCCUUGCUUUCGUUGGGUGCUCGAGUGGCGAACGGGUGAGUAACACGUGAGUAACCUGCCCUUGACGCUGGGAUAACUUCAGUAAACUGGGGCUAAUACCGCUUAUUAGCGCCUGCUGCGUGGUGUGGUGUGGGAAGUUUCGGCGGUUGGGGAUGUACUCGCGGCUUAUCAGCUUGUUGGUGGGGUAGUGGCUUACCAAGGCUUUGACGGGUAGCCGGCCGGAGAGGGUGACCGGCGACAUUGGGACUGAGAUACGGCCCAGAAUCAUACGGGAGGCAGCAGUGGGGAAUAGUGCACAAUGGGCGGAAGCCUGAUGCAGGAACGCCGCGUGCGGGAUGACGGCCUUCGGGUUGUAAACCGCUUUCGCCUGUGACGAAGCGUGAGUGACGGUAAUGGGUAAAGAAGCACCGGCUAACUACGUG